CCUCUAAUUUGAAUCUUUUGAACUUGAGACUUGGGCCAAUAACUUGUAGCUUUCUUCCAACUUUUCUUGAGUGCUUUUAGAGGCCUUCUUGUGUUCUUCCAACUUGCUAUGUUCCUUGCAACAUAAAUAUCUUUCUCCUUGCAACAUAAACAUUAGUAUCUAUACUUCAAGGUUUUGUGAUCAUCAAAAUCAAUCUAUGAAUCAAUCUUUGGGUCAUCAAAAGUG
rnacentral:lncRNA from 1 species